rnacentral:ncRNA from 1 species
CGGCGUGUAGUUGAUGAAGACAUAUCCGCGUUCCUGGUCGAUGGCGUGAAAAAGCGGGUUCCACCAGAAGUAGGGCAGCAUGAAAUUCGGCAGCACGUUGGCCACGAACAUCUUGCCCGAGGCGAACAUGUUGACGCGCUG